GGAGCGGUGGCCGAGCGGCUGAAGGCGACGGUUUGCUAAACCGUUAUACGGGUUACAACCUGUAUCGAGGGUUCGAAUCCCUCCCGCUCCG
rnacentral:tRNA from 1 species